rnacentral:rRNA from 1 species
GUUUGAUCAUGGCUCAGAUUGAACGCUGGCGGCAGGCCUAACACAUGCAAGUCGAACGGUAACAGGAAGCAGCUUGCUGCUUCGCUGACGAGUGGCGGACGGGUGAGUAAUGUCUGGGAAGCUGCCUGAUGGAGGGGGAUAACUACUGGAAACGGUAGCUAAUACCGCAUAAUGUCGCAAGACCAAAGAGGGGGACCUUCGGGCCUCUUGCCAUCGGAUGUGCCCAGAUGGGAUUAGCUUGUUGGUGGGGUAACGGCUCACCAAGGCGACGAUCCCUAGCUGGUCUGAGAGGAUGACCAGCCACACUGGAACUGAGACACGGUCCAGACUCCUACGGGAGGCAGCAGUGGGGAAUAUUGCACAAUGGGCGCAAGCCUGAUGCAGCCAUGCCGCGUGUAUGAAGAAGGCCUUCGGGUUGUAAAGUACUUUCAGCGGGGAGGAAGGGAGUAAAGUUAAUACCCUUGCUCAUUGACGUUACCCGCAGAAGAAGCACCGGCUAACUCCGUGCCAGCAGCCGCGGUAAUACGGAGGGUGCAAGCGUUAAUCGGAAUUACUGGGCGUAAAGCGCACGCAGGCGGUUUGUUAAGUCAGAUGUGAAAUCCCCGGGCUCAACCUGGGAACUGCAUCUGAUACUGGCAAGCUUGAGUCUCGUAGAGGGGGGUAGAAUUCCAGGUGUAGCGGUGAAAUGCGUAGAGAUCUGGAGGAAUACCGGUGGCGAAGGCGGCCCCCUGGACGAAGACUGACGCUCAGGUGCGAAAGCGUGGGGAGCAAACAGGAUUAGAUACCCUGGUAGUCCAUGCCGUAAACGAUGUCGACUCGGAGGUUGUGCCCUUGAGGCGUGGCUUCCGGAGCUAACGCGUUAAGUCGACCGCCUGGGGAGUACGGCCGCAAGGUUAAAACUCAAAUGAAUUGACGGGGGCCCGCACAAGCGGUGGAGCAUGUGGUUUAAUUCGAUGCAACGCGAAGAACCUUACCUGGUCUUGACAUCCACGGAAGUUUUCAGAGAUGAGAAUGUGCCUUCGGGAACCGUGAGACAGGUGCUGCAUGGCUGUCGUCAGCUCGUGUUGUGAAAUGUUGGGUUAAGUCCCGCAACGAGCGCAACCCUUAUCCUUUGUUGCCAGCGGUCCGGCCGGGAACUCAAAGGAGACUGCCAGUGAUAAACUGGAGGAAGCUGGGGAUGACGUCAAGUCAUCAUGGCCCUUACGACCAGGGCUACACACGUGCUACAAUGGCGCAUACAAAGAGAAGCGACCUCGCGAGAGCAGGCGGACCUCAUAAAGUGCGUCGUAGUCCGGAUUGGAGUCUGCAGCUCGACUCCAUGAAGUCGGAAUCGCUAGUAAUCGUGGAUCAGAAUGCCACGGUGAAUACGUUCCCGGGCCUUGUACACACCGCCCGUCACACCAUGGGAGUGGGUUGCAAAAGAAGUAGGUAGCUUAACCUUCGGGAGGGCGCUUACCACUUUGUGAUUCAUGACUGGGGUGAAGUCGUAACAAGGUAACCGUAGGGGAACCUGCGGUUG